CAGUAGCCGCGGUAAUACGAGGGGGGCAAGCGUUGUCCGGAAUUAUUGGGCGUAAAGGGCUCGCAGGCGGUUUCUUAAGUCUGAUGUGAAAGCCCCCGGCUCAACCGGGGAGGGUCAUUGGAAACUGGGAAACUUGAGUGCAGAAGAGGAGAGUGGAAUUCCACGUGUAGCGGUGAAAUGCGUAGAGAUGUGGAGGAACACCAGUGGCGAAGGCGACUCUCUGGUCUGUAGCUGACGCUGAGGAGCGAAAGCGUGGGGAGCGAACAGGAUUAGAUACCCCCGAGUCCCUGUCUCUUAUACA
rnacentral:rRNA from 1 species